AUCAGGUUGCGCGUCAUCCAAGAUCCUCUUACAAAGAGAAGCCAUGAACUUCCUUGGCUCAUGGAACCCUCCACUUGGCUCAGAAUUGCCACUGUAAAUCAUAAUGUCAGGUUUGCAUUUCAACUCUUAGACCACCAUGUGUCAACCCUGCCUAGAGAAUUAGAAAGUAAAACUAGUCCUCGCCCAAAGGAAAUCCAAUUGAAACCCUAGUCCCUUCCUUUUUAUACAAUAUAUCCAGAGACAUCAGGCAAAACAAAACAAAACAAAAACAAAAGAAAAGUAUCAAGAAAUUAAAAACUCAUUCAAGCAACAGAGGAACAGUUUAGUCAUUCAAACCAGUGAGCAUUUUCAUGUAUUUUUAAAUGACUCCUUUUAUAUGAACAACAUCUGUUUUCAAGAAAUGAUCUUGAGGAGAAAAUCAGCCAUCUUACUAAAGAGUGCAACUUUGAACCAACGAAGGGACAAAUAUCAGACUCUUCCAUACUCCGCAUGCCUUCUGUCUUCAUCUCAUCUACAGCUUCGUCAAAUACCUCAGAAAGGCCCCAAACACAGAACAUAUAAACAUAUACUCUCUCUCCCACACACACAGUCUCACACACAGGCAGCCUGUGUGAGGUUAACUGCAUAGAAUAACCAGGCUGAGGUACUCCAUCAGCCCCCUCCUUGGUCAGAGUUAAUGCAUAGUGACAGAAGCCAACAGUAGCCCUGGGCCACUUCAAUCACUCACUUGAGCAGCUAAACAUUUUCUGCAAGACAAAGCUCUUAGAACCCUUCAUUUUUCAAAUUAGAGAAUGACAAGCUUAACUCCCAACCUGGAGACCUUUCAUCUCAAAGCUCAGCAAAGCAGAGCAGUAGCUUUGAUUACGUAGU
rnacentral:lncRNA from 10 species